GUCGAACGGGGUCGGAACUUCGGUUCCGGCUUACGUGGCGCACGGGUGAGUAACACGUGGGAAUCUGCCCAUCUAUGGGGAAUAACUGCGGGAAACUGCAGCUAAUACCGCAUACGCCCUUCGGGGGAAAGGCUUCGGCCGUAGAUGGAUGAGCCCGCGUCCGAUUAGCUAGUUGGUGGGGUAAUGGCCUACCAAGGCGACGAUCGGUAGCUGGUCUGAGAGGAUGAUCAGCCACACUGGGACUGAGACACGGCCCAGACUCCUACGGGAGGCAGCAGUGGGGAAUAUUGGACAAUGGGCGAAAGCCUGAUCCAGCAAUGCCGCGUGAGUGAUGAAGGUCUUCGGAUUGUAAAGCUCUUUCGACGGGGAAGAUAAUGACGGUACCCGUAGAAGAAGCCCCGGCUAACUUCGUGCCAGCAGCCGCGGUAAUACGAAGGGGGCUAGCGUUGUUCGGAUUUACUGGGCGUAAAGCGUGCGUAGGCGGCUUAUCAAGUCAGAAGUGAAAGCCCGGGGCUCAACUCCGGAAUGGCUUUUGAGACUGGUAGGCUGGAGUUCGGGAGAGGGUAGUGGAAUUCCCAGUGUAGAGGUGAAAUUCGUAGAUAUUGGGAAGAACACCGGUGGC
rnacentral:rRNA from 1 species